rnacentral:rRNA from 1 species
CUACGGGCGGCUGCAGUGAGGAAUAUUGCACAAUGGAGGGAACUCUGAUGCAGCAACGCCGCGUGGAGGAUGACGCAUUUCGGUGUGUAAACUCCUUUUAUAUAGGAAGAUAAUGACGGUACUAUAUGAAUAAGCACCGGCUAACUCCGUGCCAGCAGCCGCGGUAAUACGGAGGGUGCAAGCGUUACUCGGAAUCACUGGGCGUAAAGCGCAUGCAGGCGGUUAAAUAAGUUGGAAGUGAAAUCCUAUGGCUCAACCAUAGAACUGCUUCCAAAACUGUUUAACUAGAGUCUGGGAGGGGAAGAUGGAAUUAGUAGUGUAGGGGUAAAAUCCGUAGAGAUUACUAGGAAUACCAAAAGCGAAGGCGAUCUUCUGGAACAGUACUGACGCUGAGAUGCGAAAGCGUGGGGAGCAAACAGGAUUAGAUACCCUCGUAGUC